ACACGAUGACAUCUCUAACGUUUGUUUUCUACCUGACAUGUUUGGUCUUGCGGGGAAAGGUCAUUUUAGCUCAGAAGACACAUCAGUACUCUGUUCAUCAAGAGAGUGGCUUCAAAUCAGUACAUGUUGGUGAAAGUAUAAUUUUGCCAUGUUCCUAUGAAAAGGAUGUGUCAGCAAUAUUUUACUGGUUUAAGCAAACAUUGGGACAGAAACCAAAGCUUAUUUGUAAUUUCUACAUCUAUGGUGACACUGAACUAUUUUAUGAUGAAUUUGUGAACAAUUCACGGUUUAAAAUAGAAAUUAAAAAUGGUAAGAAACACUUAAGUAUUUCAGAUUUGUGUAUUUCAGACUCAGCUACUUAUUACUGUGGACGUAGAGCUACCACCACUGUUGAAUUUGCAGAAGGCGUUACAGUCAGUGUAAAGGGUUCAGGUUUGAAUGUUAAAAGUUUACUUCAUCAGUCUUCAUCUGAGACCAUGCAGCUGGGAGACUCUGUGACUCUGAACUGUACAGUACACACUGGGACCUGUGAUGGAGAACACAGAGUUUACUGGUUCAAAGUCUCUGAAGAAUCUCAUCCAGGACUCAUUUACACUCGUGGAGGCAGGAAUGAUCAGUGUGAGAGGAAAAAUAACACACAAAUACACACCUGUGUCUACAACCUGCCAAUGGAGAACCUGAAUCUGUCUCAUAAUGGGAUCUACUACUGUGCUGUUGCCUCAUGUGGACACAUACUGUUUGGAAAUGGGACCAAACUGGAGUUGAAGAAUGAGGAGGUUUCUCUUGUCUUGGUGUAUUUCUUGAUUGGUGCUUUGGUGUUCACCACUAUCCUGACACUUUCACUGGCUGCCUUACUGUACACACACAUGAGAAAAGACCAGCAAGUUACAGGUAAAUUGUACUGUUUAUUGCAUGAUUAGUGAAUUUUAACAUCAUAGAAACAGCUUUUCUUUGUGUUUCAGAGUCUCAUGAAAGAUUUUCAGCUUCAUACCCAAUGAACUCAGAGCAGAGUUUCCAGGCUGAAGAAAACCUCCAUUACGCUGCUUUAAGGGUAAAAAAGUCCAAUCGCUCAAGAAGUCGAAGAGAUGACUCAGAGACAAAAUGUAUCUACACUGGUGUUAGGAAAUAAAACCUAUCAUAUUUUAGCUUUGCC